AGCAAAAAUGAUUAUUCGAAUGGGAUUUGAAAUCCUUUUUUAUUGCAGGUAGUUGCAAGUUUUGCUU
rnacentral:tRNA from 1 species